rnacentral:rRNA from 1 species
GCAUAUCAAUAAGCGGAGGAAAAGAAAAUAACAAUGAUUCCCUUAGUAACGGCGAGUGAAGGGGGAAAAGCUCAAAUUUUAAAUCGGCAUGGUUCUACCUAGUCGAGUUGUAAUUUGAAGAAGCGUUUUCCGCGUCCAGGUUGGCCCAAAUCCUUUGGGAUAAGGUAUCAUGGAGGGUGAGAAUCCCGUCCGGUUGACCUUUAGGACGCUUUACGAUACGCUCUCAAAGAGUCGAGUUGUUUGGGAUUGCAGCUCAAAAUGGGAGGUAAAUUUCUCCUAAGGCUAAAUACCGGCGAGAGACCGAUAGCGAACAAGUACCGUGAGGGAAAGAUGAAAAGAACUUUGAAAAGAGAGUUAAACAGUACGUGAAAUUGUUGAAAGGGAAACGAUUGAAGUCAGUCGUACCAGCGGGAAAUCAACCUUUCGAGUGGUAUUUUGGAGUUUUUUAAGAGUCUUAAAAACCUUUGAGAUUUCAAAAUUUCUGCUCUUUUGGUGUACUUUCUCGUAUGUAGGUCAACAUCGAUUUUGAUCAUCAUAAAAAGAUUAGAGGAAUGUAGCUUCGAUCUUGUAUUGAAGUGUUAUAGCCUUUGAUAAAUGUGAUGAUCAAGAUCGAGGAUUGCAACGAAUAUCCUUUGGGCUAUCCGUCUGAUCUCUGAUACGUUGCCUUGGUAUCGAAAGCUUGCUUAUGGUAUUAAGGUAUUACGGUCAAAAGGUUAGAACGUGAUUACAUUCGUUAAGGAUGUUGACGUA